GACGAACGCUGGCGGCGUGCCUAAUACAUGCAAGUCGAACGCAGUGGGGACGGGUGAGUAACACGUGGGUAACCUCCCAUCAGAGGGGAUAACACUUGGAAACCGGUGCUAAACCUAUACUGAUGGAUGGACCCGCGGUGCAUUGGCUAGUUGGGGAGGUAACGGCUCCCCAAGGCCACGAUGCUUAGCAGGCCUGGGCGGUGUAGCGGCCACACUGGGACUAUGAGAGGGCCAAGACUCCUACGGGAGGCAGCAGUAGGGAAUCUGCGGCAAUGGACGCAAGGCUGACCUAGCAACGCCGCGUGAGUGAAGAAGGUUUUCGGAUCGUAAAACUCUGUUGUUAGAGAAGCGGUAGCUAAACAGAAAGCCACGGCUAACUACGUGCCAGCAGCCGCGGUAAUAC
rnacentral:rRNA from 1 species